rnacentral:rRNA from 1 species
GACGAACGUUGGCGGCGUGCUUAAUACAUGCAAGUCCACUGAAGCAGUGGUAGCAAUCUCGCUGUGGAGGUGGCGCACGGGGGAGUAACACGUAGGUAAUCUGCCUUCAGGUCUGGCAUAACUCCGGGAAACCGGGGCUAAUAGCAGAUGAUGCAGCGGCUCGACAUCGAGAUAGUUGUUAAAGCUAUGGCGCCUGAAGAUGAGCCUGCGUCUGAUUAGCUAGUUGGCGGGGUAACGGCCCACCAAGGCAACGAUCAGUAGCUGGUCGGAGAGGAUGAUCGGCCACACUGGAACUGAGACACGGUCCAGACUACUCCGGGAGGCAGCAGUAGGGAAUAUUGCUCAAUGGGAGAAAUCCUGAAGCAGCAACGCAGCGUGAGGGACGAAGGGCUUUUGCUUGUAAACCUCUGUGGUGAGAGAAAAAAAUCCCAAUCUUUGGGACAUGAUGGUAUCUCAAAAGUAAGCCCCGGCUAACUACGUG